GCCACCCACUCUGACUGUUGCCAAAGUACAAGCACUGCAGAGGGCAGACUCAGGUGCUGGAGAAUUGGGACAGUUUCCCAGCUUAUUGAGGAGCGCCCAAGAGCAUGUGAAAUCUAUUAAGAGAAACCAGAGCGACAGCUGUAGCCAUAGCUGAAAAGAAAUCUCCUCAGUUUAUGGAACAUCACUUUGCCGGUUUGGAUUCUGGUGAUAACAGAUCUCAUUCACGUGAGUUCACUGAGGAGCAGGACUGAAGUGACCCUUUACAAAGUGAAGGCGGGACAAAGGGACCUACAGCACGGUGCAGUAUCCACCUCCCAGAACAAGAGGGGCCAUUCCCACACCCUGCCUGAAGGGGCAAGAGGAAGGAGAGCUUACUGGAGCAUGAGGAGCAGCUAUGACUUCCCAGCAGGAAUGGCGACUUCCAAGAAAAGACCACAGUUACCCAAAGCCCCGCAAAGAGAGAGCAGGAAUUCUACCACUGAGCUACAUCCAGUUGAGACCCAAAACAGGAAGUGAAGCCGGCCUUGGGAAGAUCUGGGAGAAGCAAGUUCCACACUGGACUACAAGUGCUGCGGUACCGGGUGGGAGCAGCCCGAUGAGACCAGGGAGUGGCUGAAGGGCUGUGUGGAUGGAAUGACAGGGUAGGAGAAGAGACCAGGGUACUGGCAGAAUCAGUACAAACAGUCACACACGCUGUGUGGAAGAUUUGGAUUUUAUUCUGCACACAAUGCAAAGUCACUGGAGGCAUCUACACAGGAAAAUAAGAUGUAUCAGGAAGAGCAAUCUAUAAAUUCAUGUCUACCAACUUACAACUGGCCAGCACUCCACAUCUAUGGGUUUUGUAUCUAUAAAUUCAUUCAACUGUGUACUAAAAAUAUUUUAAAAAUCAUGCCCAUAUGGAACAUAUACAACUUUUUUCCAC